rnacentral:rRNA from 1 species
UACGUAGGGUGCGAGCGUUGUCCGGAAUUAUUGGGCGUAAAGAGCUUGUAGGCGGUUUGUCGCGUCUGCUGUGAAAUCUCAAGGCUCAACCUUGAGCUUGCAGUGGGUACGGGCAGACUAGAGUGUGGUAGGGGAGACUGGAAUUCCUGGUGUAGCGGUGGAAUGCGCAGAUAUCAGGAGGAACACCGGUGGCGAAGGCGGGACCCUGGGCCAGUACUGACGCUGAUGCGCGAAAGCGUGGGGAGCAAACAGG